AGUACUACGCCGGAUGAACGGGAAUCAUUGAUGUUGAUUAAUAUAGGAUAAGAUUUGUCUUUAGUGCUA
rnacentral:tRNA from 1 species